UUAAGUGACUAAGCGUAUGUGGUGGAUGCCUUGGCAGUUAGAGGCGAUGAAGGACGUGUUAAUCUGCGAAAAGCUUUGGUGAGGUGAUAAAAACCGUUAUAGCCAAAGAUGUCCGAAUGGGGAAACCCACCCGUCGUAAGGCGGGUAUCGCUAAGUGAAUACAUAGCUUAGCGAGGCGAACCGGGAGAACUGAAACAUCUAAGUACCCCGAGGAAAAGAAAUCAACCGAGAUUUCCUUAGUAGCGGCGAGCGAACGGGAAUUAGCCCUUAAGUGGUUUGUAAGUUAGUGGAAGCUACUGGAAAGUAGCACGAUACAGGGUGAUAGUCCCGUACACGAAAAUAAACUUAUCAUGAAAUCGAGUAGGUCGGCACACGUGAAACGUUGACUGAACAUGGGGGGACCAUCCUCCAAGGCUAAAUACUCCUAACUGACCGAUAGUGAACCAGUACCGUGAGGGAAAGGCGAAAAGAACCCCUGUGAGGGGAGUGAAAUAGAACCUGAAACCGCAUACGUACAAGCAGUGAGAGCCGGAUUUAGUCCGGUGAUUGCGUACCUUUUGUAUAAUGGGUCAGCGACUUAUAUUCUGUAGCAAGGUUAACCGAAUAGGGGAGCCGUAGCGAAAGCGAGUGUUAACUGCGCGUUUAGUUGCAGGGUAUAGACCCGAAACCCGGCGAUCUACCCAUGGGCAGGUUGAAGGUUGAGUAACAUCAACUGGAGGACCGAACACACGUAUGUUGAAAAAUGCGGUGAUGACUUGUGGGUCGGAGUGAAAGGCUAAUCAAGCCGGGAGAUAGCUGGUUCUCCCCGAAAUCUAUUUAGGUAGAGCCUCGCACGAACACCAUUGGGGGUAGAGCACUGUUAAGGCUAGGGGGUCAUCCCGACUUACCAACCCUUUGCAAACUCCGAAUACCAAUGAGUGAUAUGCGGGAGACACACUACGGGUGCUAACGUCCGUUGUGAAGAGGGAAACAACCCAGACCGCCAGCUAAGGUCCCAAAGUACUAGUUAAGUGGGAAACGAUGUGGAAAGGCAUAGACAGCUAGGAGGUUGGCUUAGAAGCAGCCAUCCUUUAAAGAAAGCGUAAUAGCUCACUAGUCGAGUCGGUCUGCGCGGAAGAUGUAACGGGGCUAAACUAGUCACCGAAGCUGCGGAUUCAAACUUAGGUUUGAGUGGUAGGGGAGCGUUCUGUAAGCCGUUGAAGGUGUGUUGUAAAGCAUGCUGGAGGUAUCAGAAGUGCGAAUGCUGACAUGAGUAACGAUAAGGGGAGUGAAAAACUCCCCCGCCGAAAGACCAAGGUUUCCUGUCCCAUGUUAAUCAGGGCAGGGUAAGUCGGCCCCUAAGGCGAGGCGGAAACGCGUAGUCGAUGGGAAACAGAUUAAUAUUUCUGUACUUCUAUAUAUUGCGAAGGAGGGACGGAGUAGGCUAGGUGAGCACGGCGUUGGUAGUCCGUGUGAAAGUAUGUAGGCGGUUGUCUUAGGUAAAUCCGGGACUUCAUUAACGCUGAGAUACGAGACGAGACUCUACGGAGUUGAAGUCAUUGAUGCCAUGCUUCCAGGAAAAGCUUCUAAGCUUCAGAUAUAUAGGAACCGUACCCCAAACCGACACAGGUGGUUAGGUAGAGAAUNNNNNNNNNNUGGUUAGUUUAGGUAAAUCCGGACUUUCAUUCAACACUGAGAUACGAGACGAGAUUCUACGGAAUUGAAGUCAUUGAUGCCAUGCUUCCAGGAAAAGCUUCUAAGCUUCAGAUAUAUAGGAACCGUACCCCAAACCGACACAGGUGGUUAGGUAGAGAAUACUAAGGCGCUUGAGAGAACUCGGGUGAAGGAACUAGGCAAAAUAGUACCGUAACUUCGGGAGAAGGUACGCUCUCUAAUGUGAAUGACUUGCUCAGUAAGCAUCGGAGAGUCGAAGUAACCAGGUGGCUGGAACUGUUUAUUAAAAACACAGCACUGUGCAAAAUCGAAAGAUGACGUAUACGGUGUGACGCCUGCCCGGUGCCGGAAGGUUAAUUGAUUGGGUUAGCUCUGCGAAGCUCAUGAUCGAAGCCCCGGUAAACGGCGGCCGUAACUAUAACGGUCCUAAGGUAGCGAAAUUCCUUGUCGGGUAAGUUCCGACCUGCACGAAUGGCGUAAUCAUGGCCACACUGUCUCCACCCGAGACUCAGUGAAAUUGAAAUUGCGGUUAAGAUGCCGUAUACCCGCGGCUAGACGGAAAGACCCCGUGAACCUUUACUAUAGCUUGACAGUGAACAUUGCUCCUACAUGUGUAGGAUAGGUGGGAGGCUUUGAA
rnacentral:rRNA from 1 species